UCGAAUCUAUUGCGCCUUUCAAAUUCAUAAAAAUCAAAACAAACUUAAAAAUAAAUUUAAAAAAUUCAACAUAUACUUUAAUUAGAAUAUCAAAUCAAAAUACUAAAUUCAUCAAUAUAUUCUCAAUGAUUCAACAUGAUAAGAUUCAGAUGUCACUUGUUAGAAUCAUAAAUCAAGAUAUAAAUAAAAUUUAAUGAACCAUAAAUUAAGAUCUAUCCUAUCAAAUCAUAAAAAAAACGACAACAAAAUUAGAUGCAGAAGCGUAGCUAAAUCCUUGGGUUUCUAAAUUUUUUUCGGAUAUUGGAGAUUUGAUCUUCCAAAUUAGCACAUAAUAAAUCUUGAGAAAAUGGUUUUCUCUUUUCUAAAAAUGAGAGAUUAGAAAAGUUACAUUGUGUGUAAUUUGAGUAGCAUAACCUUAAUAUAUAUAAUUUUGACACAUUAGCCCUAAUUCCUAAUCAACUUAUCAUUAAUUUGAAAUUAACUAUUAAAUAUAUACAUAUAUUUGACCCGUUCUUUAUUUAUAUUGGUGUAUUCCCUUUCACCCGUAUAAGCCGUUGUAGAGAACCCAUCAUUGCAGCUCCAUUGCAAGCCUGCAUUUUGACUUCCCACUAGUAUUUCUUACAAAUAACCUGCAAAUUUAUAAUCGACAAAUAGAAUUAAGAUAAGGAAUUCAAUUCAUAAUCAAUUAAUUCAUUUGUUAGAGCAGAAACUGAACAGCAUUUAAGACUUAAUUAAUCCCAUGAGAAAAAGGUAUUUUCCUUUGAAAACUUGACCAUUACCAAUUCUUCUGUUAACCAAGAACAUGAAAACUAAAGAACAGCAAUAUAUCUUAAGUUAAAAUAGAGAUGAUAAACAAAUCUCCCCGGAACUAUAUAAUUAACUGGAUAUAAAAAUUAGAGAGAGCAACGAAUUAAACAAAAUAUAUAAAAAAUAAAUGAUAAUUCAAGAAAUAUAGAAAUUAAAGAAGGACAUACUUGUUCUAAGGGUUCUCUUUUAUUUCUUUCUUUUCUUCUUCUCGCAUUUUCUUUUUGGGUGCAAUAGAAAGAAGGGCAUACUUGUUCAAGGUGAGCCUGUGAGAAACGAUGAGUGUGUAUGCAUCAAGGAAAGAAAGGGAAUUUGGUGUUUAGGGCUUCGGAAAUGGAGAAGGGAAUGAAUGCGAAGGCUGUAGUUGAAAGUGUAGAUAAUAUCUCAACAAUGGAUUCAGGACAUAAAAAGACAUAAAAACAAAAGGAACUCAAAUAGG
rnacentral:lncRNA from 1 species